UCGGGAAUUUUGGGCAAUGGGCGAAAGCCUGACCCAGCAACGCCGCGUGAAGGAUGAAAUCUUUCGGGAUGUAAACUUCGGAAGAAUAGGAAGAAUAAAAUGACGGUACUAUUUUUAAGGUCCGGCUAACUACGUGCCAGCAGCCGCGGUAAUACGUAGGGACCAAGCGUUGUUCGGAUUUACUGGGCGUAAAGGGCGCGUAGGCGGCGUAAUAAGUCACUUGUGAAAUCUCCGGGCUUAACUCGGAGCGGCCAAGUGAUACUGUUAGGCUAGAGUGCAGAAAGGGCAAUCGGAAUUCUUGGUGUAGCGGUGAAAUGCGUAGAUAUCAAGAGGAACACCUGAGGCGAAGGCGGGUUGCUAGGCUGACACUGACGCUGAGGCGCGAAAGCUAGGGUAGCAAACGGGAUUAGAUACCCUUGUAGUCCCUGAGCGGGCUGGCAAGGCGCAU
rnacentral:rRNA from 1 species